rnacentral:misc_RNA from 1 species
GUAGGUGAACCUGCGGAAGGAUCAUUAAAAUAAUGGGUUCGGAACCUUUGAUCGGGUUCUGAACCUUUGGCGCGCAGCACCCGGGUGGGUAGCUUAUCUAUGGAGUUGUGGUUAUUGCCGUUAUAAGCUUUGGAAUGGGCAUGACCGAGGGUCGCGCCUACGGUGUUAUCUUCACGCGUAGGUUUCCUCUUGCCGCCGGACUUACAGUGAUCCCACCCGCUGGAUCCAUGACCAAAAAACCCCCUGUGAA